rnacentral:rRNA from 1 species
GAUGAACGCUGGCGGCGUGCCUAAUACAUGCAAGUCGAGCGAACGGACGAGAAGCUUGCUUCUCUGAUGUUAGCGGCGGACGGGUGAGUAACACGUGGAUAACCUACCUAUAAGACUGGGAUAACUUCGGGAAACCGUAGCUAAUACCGGAUAAUAUUUUGAACCGCAUGGUUCAAAAGUGAAAGACGGUCUUGCUGUCACUUAUAGAUGGAUCCGCGCUGCAUUAGCUAGUUGGUAAGGUAACGGCUUACCAAGGCAACGAUGCAUAGCCGACCUGAGAGGGUGAUAGGCAACACUGGAACUGAGACACGGUCCAGACUCCUACGGGAGGCAGCAGUAGGGAAUCUUCCGCAAUGGGCGAAAGCCUGACGGAGCAACGCCGCGUGAGUGAUGAAGGUCUUCGGACCGUAAAACUCUGUUAUUAGGGAAGAACAUAUGUGUAAGUAACUGUGCACAUCUUGACGGUACCUAAUCAGAAAGCCACGGCUAACUACGUG